GACGAACGCUGGCGGCGCGCCUAACACAUGCAAGUCGAACGAGCGAGAGAGAGCUUGCUUUCUCAAGCGAGUGGCGAACGGGUGAGUAACACGUGAGGAACCUGCCUCAAAGAGGGGGACAACAGUUGGAAACGACUGCUAAUACCGCAUAAGCCCACAGGUCGGCAUCGACCAGAGGGAAAGGGAGCAAUCCGCUUUGAGAUGGCCUCGCGUCCGAUUAGCUAGUUGGUGAGGUAACGGCCCACCAAGGCAACGAUCGGUAGCCGGACUGAGAGGUUGAACGGCCACAUUGGGACUGAGACACGGCCCAGACUCCUACGGGAGGCAGCAGUGGGGAAUAUUGCACAAUGGGGGAAACCCUGAUGCAGCGACGCCGCGUGGAGGAAGAAGGUCUUCGGAUUGUAAACUCCUGUUGUUGAGGAAGAUAAUGACGGUACUCAACAAGGAAGUGACGGCUAACUACGUG
rnacentral:rRNA from 1 species